GACGAACGCUGGCGGCGUGCUUAACACAUGCAAGUCGAACGGAAAGGCCCUGCUUUUGUGGGGUGCUCGAGUGGCGAACGGGUGAGUAACACGUGAGUAACCUGCCCUUGACUUUGGGAUAACUUCAGGAAACUAGGGCUAAUACCGGAUAGGAGCUCCUGCUGCAUGGUGGGGGUUGGAAAGUUUCGGCGGUUGGGGAUGGACUCGCGGCUUAUCAGCUUGUUGGUGGGGUAGUGGCUUACCAAGGCUUUGACGGGUAGCCGGCCUGAGAGGGUGACCGGCCACAUUGGGACUGAGAUACGGCCCAGACUCCUACGGGAGGCAGCAGUGGGGAAUAUUGCACAAUGGGCGGAAGCCUGAUGCAGCAACGCCGCGUGCGGGAUGACGGCCUUCGGGUUGUAAACCGCUUUCGCCUGUGACGAAGUGUGAGUGACGGUAAUGGGUAAAGAAGCACCGGCUAACUACGUG
rnacentral:rRNA from 1 species